GAUGAACGCUGGCGGCGUGCUUAACACAUGCAAGUCGAACGGAAAGGCCCAAGCUUGCUUGGGUACUCGAGUGGCGAACGGGUGAGUAACACGUGGGUGAUCUGCCCCGCACUUCGGGAUAAGCCUGGGAAACUGGGUCUAAUACCGGAUAGGACAGUGGUUUGGAUGCCAUUGUGGAAAGUUUUUUCGGUGUGGGAUGAGCUCGCGGCCUAUCAGCUUGUUGGUGGGGUAAUGGCCUACCAAGGCGUCGACGGGUAGCCGGCCUGAGAGGGUGUACGGCCACAUUGGGACUGAGAUACGGCCCAGACUCCGACGGGAGGCAGCAGGGGGGAAUAUUGCACAAUGGGCGCAAGCCUGAUGCAGCGACGCCGCGUGGGGGAUGACGGACUUCGGGUUGUAAACUCCUUUCGCUAGGGACGAAGCGUUAUGUGACGGUACCUAGAGAAGAAGCACCGGCUAACUACGUG
rnacentral:rRNA from 1 species